AUCCCAUGAUACGAACAUGCAAGGAUGUACUCCUAAAGCCUCUCCCAAGCUUCAAAAAUUGACUCAUUUGAUGCCUGCUGGAAGCUCGAAAUUCUUCCAUGAAGAG